CACGUAGGGUGCGAGCGUUGUCCGGAAUUAUUGGGCGUAAAGAGCUCGUAGGCGGUGUGUCGCGUCGGCCGUGAAAACCUGCAGCUUAACUGUGGGCUUGCGGUCGAUACGGGCAUCACUGGAGUUCGGCAGGGGAGACUGGAAUUCCUGGUGUAGCGGUGAAAUGCGCAGAUAUCAGGAGGAACACCGAUGGCGAAGGCAGGUCUCUGGGCCAUAACUGACCCUGAGAAGCGAAAGCAUGGGGAGCGAACAGG
rnacentral:rRNA from 1 species